rnacentral:tRNA from 1 species
UGCGGGGUCGGCUAGUGGUAGGCCGCGACUCUCUGAAAGUCGAUACCUUGGUUCGAAUCCAAGCCCCGCAGCCA